rnacentral:miRNA from 2 species
UACAUGUAUAAAAUUCUGAGGAUG